UACGAGGGGGCAAGCGUUGUUCGGAAUUAUUGGGCGUAAAGGGCGCGUAGGCGGUUUGGCAAGUCUAGUGUGAAAUCUUCGGGCUCAACUCGAAGUCUGCACUGGAAACUGCCGGGCUUGAGUAUGGGAGAGGUGAGUGGAAUUUCCGGUGUAGCGGUGAAAUGCGUAGAUAUCGGAAGGAACACCUGUGGCGAAAGCGGCUCACUGGACCAUAACUGACGCUGAGGCGCGAAAGCUAGGGGAGCAAACAGG
rnacentral:rRNA from 1 species